rnacentral:rRNA from 1 species
UACAGAGGUGGCAAGCGUUGUUCGGAAUUACUGGGCGUAAAGCGUGCGUAGGUGGUUCGUUAAGUCUGAUGUGAAAGCCCUGGGCUCAACCUGGGAAUGGCAUUGGAAACUGGCGACCUAGAGUGCGGUAGAGGGUAGUGGAAUUCCCGGUGUAGCAGUGAAAUGCGUAGAUAUCAGGAGGAAUACCGAUGGCGAAGGCAGGUCUCUGGGCUAUAACUGACGCUCAUGCACGAAAGCGUGGGGAGCAAACAGG